CAGCAGCCUCGGUAAUACGAAGGGUGCAAGCGUUACUCGGAAUUACUGGGCGUAAAGCGUGCGUAGGUGGUGGUUUAAGUCCGUUGUGAAAGCCCUGGGCUCAACCUGGGAAUUGCAGUGGAUACUGGGUCACUAGAGUGUGGUAGAGGAUAGUGGAAUUUCCGGUGUAGCAGUGAAAUGCGUAGAGAUCGGAAGGAACAUCUGUGGCGAAGGCGACUAUCUGGGCCAACACUGACACUGAGGCACGAAAGCGUGGGGAGCAAACAGGAUUAGAUACCCCCGUAGUCCCUGUCUCUUAUAC
rnacentral:rRNA from 1 species